rnacentral:rRNA from 1 species
UACAGAGGGUGCAAGCGUUUGUUCGGAAUUAUUGGGCGUAAAGCGCGUGUAGGCGGCUUUGCAAGUCGGGUGUGAAAGCCCUCGGCUCAACCGAGGAAGUGCGCCCGAAACUGCAGAGCUUGAGUGCCGGAGAGGGUGGCGGAAUUCCCCAAGUAGAGGUGAAAUUCGUAGAUAUGGGGAGGAACACCGGUGGCGAAGGCGGCCACCUGGACGGUUACUGACGCUGAGACGCGAAAGCGUGGGGAGCGAACAGG